CGAAGGGGCUAGCGUUGUUCGGAUUUACUGGGGCGUAAAGCGCACGUAGGCGGACUUUUAAGUCAGGGGUGAAAUCCCGGGGCUCAACCCCGGAACUGCCUUUGAUACUGGAAGUCUUGAGUAUGGUAGAGGUGAGUGGAAUUCCGAGUGUAGAGGUGAAAUUCGUAGAUAUUCGGAGGAACACCAGUGGCGAAGGCGGCUCACUGGACCAUUACUGACGCUGAGGUGCGAAAGCGUGGGGAGCAAACAGGAUU
rnacentral:rRNA from 1 species